UACGUAGGGGGCAAGCGUUGUCCGGAUUUAUUGGGCGUAAAGAGCGUGUAGGCGGCCAGGUAGGUCUGCUGUGAAAACUCGAGGCUUAACCUCGAGCUGUCGGCGGAAACCAUCUGGCUAGAGUCCGGAAGAGGAGAAUGGAAUUCCCGGUGUAGCGGUGAAAUGCGCAGAUAUCAGGAGGAACACCAAUGGCGAAGGCAGCUCGCUGGACCAAUUCUGACGCUGAGGAGCGAAAGCCAGGGGAGCAAACGGG
rnacentral:rRNA from 1 species